rnacentral:lncRNA from 1 species
AUGGUGAUUGGCAGAAGCAACCGCAGCAUUUUCCCGCCAAGUUGAUCAGCUCAGAGCGAUCGAGCGACCUCCAUGAAUCGCGAUCAAGCUCGAGGAAGAAGCCCACGAGGCGGACGAGGCUCUGGGAAUCGCGGCCAAGGCCGAGGAAACCCCCGAGGCGGUCGACAUUCUCAGCCACAGCGCUCCACUUAUGAAUGGCGUCCAUCUCAAAAAAAAGAUGCACUUUCUGAAGCUGAGAAACAGAAGGAAUGUCUUCCAUCUGAAAGAAAAUUGGAAGGAAUGGCGAUCAAACAGCAGCCUGGAGCUGGAAUUCAUGGACCUUCACCUAAUGACUUUGCUGGUAAUAAGGAGGGUUCGUCAACAGGUGAAAUGGGAAGUCCCCAGGACAUGUUUCCGUGUAGCUCUUCAAAG